AGGACGAACGCUGGCGGCGUGCUUAACACAUGCAAGUCGAGCGGAAAGGCCCUUCGGGGUACUCGAGCGGCGAACGGGUGAGUAACACGUGAGCAACCUGCCCUUAGCUCUGGGAUAGCUCCGGGAAACCGGAAUUAAUACCGGAUACGACCUAGGCCGACAUCGGCCAUGGUGGAAAGUUUUUCGGCUAGGGAUGGACUCGCGGCCUAUCAGCUAGUUGGUGGGGUAAAGGCCUACCAAGGCGACGACGGGUAGCCGGCCUGAGAGGGCGACCGGCCACACUGGGACUGAGACACGGCCCAGACUCCUACGGGAGGCAGCAGUGGGGAAUCUUGGACAAUGGGGGCAACCCUGAUCCAGCAAUGCCGCGUGAGUGAAGAAGGCCUUCGGUUGUAAAGCUCUUUGUCAGGGAAGAAACGGUCUGUUCUAAUACAGCGGGCUAAUGACGGUACCUGAAGAAUAAGCACCGGCUAACUACGCGCCAGCAGCCGCGGUAA
rnacentral:rRNA from 1 species